rnacentral:rRNA from 1 species
GACGAACGCUGGCGGCGUGCUUAACACAUGCAAGUCGAACGAUGAACCCGGAGCUUGCUCCGGUGGAUUAGUGGCGAACGGGUGAGUAACACGUGAGUAACCUGCCCUUGACUCUGGGAUAACUGCGGGAAACUGUAGCUAAUACCGGAUACGACCCUCGGCGGCAUCGCCAGGGGGUGGAAAGAAUUUCGGUCAAGGAUGGACUCGCGGCCUAUCAGCUAGUUGGUGAGGUAACGGCUCACCAAGGCGACGACGGGUAGCCGGCCUGAGAGGGUGACCGGCCACACUGGGACUGAGACACGGCCCAGACUCCUACGGGGGGCAGCAGUGGAGAAUAUUGCACAAUGGGCGCAAGCCUGAUGCAGCGACGCCGCGUGAGGGAUGACGGCCUUCGGGUUGUAAACCUCUUUUAGUAGGGAAGAAGCGAAAGUGACGGUACCUGCAGAAAAAGCACCGGCUAACUACGUGCCAGCCGCCGCGGUAA